rnacentral:rRNA from 1 species
AUUGAACGCUGGCGGCAGGCUUAACACAUGCAAGUCGAGCGGGGAAGGGUAGCUUGCUACCUGACCUAGCGGCGGACGGGUGAGUAAUGCGUAGGAAUCUGCCUAUUAGUGGGGGACAACAUUCCGAAAGGAAUGCUAAUACCGCAUACGCCCUACGGGGGAAAGCAGGGGAUCUUCGGACCUUGCGCUAAUAGAUGAGCCUAAGUCAGAUUAGCUAGUUGGGUGGGUAAAGGGCUACCAAGGCGACGAUCUGUAGCGGGUCUGAGAGGAUGAUCCGCCACACUGGGAAUGAGACACGGCCCAGACUCCUACGGGAGGCAGCAGGGAGGAAUAUUGGACAAUGGGCGAAAGCCUGAUCCAGCCAUGCCGCGUGUGUGAAGAAGGCCUUUUGGUUGUAAAGCACUUUAAGCGAGGAGGAGGCUACUUGGAUUAAUACUCUAGGAUAGUGGACGUUACUCGCAGAAUAAGCACCGGCUAACUCUGUGCCAGCCGCCGCCGUAAUAC